rnacentral:rRNA from 1 species
CUUGAAGGGACGGCUGCUAUACAUGCAGUCGAGCGAAUUGAUGGGAGCUUGCUCCCUGAUAUUAGCGGCGGACGGGUGAGUAACACGUGGGUAACCUGCCUGUAAGAUUGGGAUAACUCCGGGAAACCGGAGCUAAUACCGGAUAACAUGUUGAACCGCAUGGUUCAACAUUGAAAGAUGGCUUUUGCUAUCACUUACAGAUGGACCCGCGGCGCAUUAGCUAGUUGGUGAGGUAACGGCUCACCAAGGCAACGAUGCGUAGCCGACCUGAGAGGGUGAUCGGCCACACUGGGACUGAGACACGGCCCAGACUCCUACGGGAGGCAGCAGUAGGGAAUCUUCCGCAAUGGACGAAAGUCUGACGGAGCAACGCCGCGUGAACGAUGAAGGCCUUCGGGUCGUAAAGUUCUGUUGUUAGGGAAGAACAAGUACCAGAGUAACUGCUGGUACCUUGACGGUACCUAACCAGAAAGCCACGGCUAACUACGUGCCAGCAGCCGCGGUAAUACGUAGGUGGCAAGCGUUGUCCGGAAUUAUUGGGCGUAAAGCGCGCGCAGGUGGUUUCUUAAGUCUGAUGUGAAAGCCCACGGCUCAACCGUGGAGGGUCAUUGGAAACUGGGGAACUUGAGUGCAGAAGAGGAAAGUGGAAUUCCAAGUGUAGCGGUGAAAUGCGUAGAGAUUUGGAGGAACACCAGUGGCGAAGGCGACUUUCUGGUC